GAGCGAUUUACUUCGGUAAAGAGCGGCGGACGGGUGAGUAACGCGUGGGUAACCUGCCCUGUACACACGGAUAACAUACCGAAAGGUAUGCUAAUACGAGAUAAUAUACUUUUAUCGCAUGGUAGAAGUAUCAAAGCUCUGGCGGUACAGGAUGGACCCGCGUCUGAUUAGCUAGUUGGUAAGGUAACGGCUUACCAAGGCGACGAUCAGUAGCCGACCUGAGAGGGUGAUCGGCCACAUUGGAACUGAGACACGGUCCAAACUCCUACGGGAGGCAGCAGUGGGGAAUAUUGCACAAUGGGCGAAAGCCUGAUGCAGCAACGCCGCGUGAGCGAUGAAGGCCUUCGGGUCGUAAAGCUCUGUCCUCAAGGAAGAUAAUGACGGUACUUGAGGAGGAAGCCCCGGCUAACUACGUGCCAGCAGCCGCGGUAAUACGUAGGGGGCUAGCGUUAUCCGGAAUUACUGGGCGUAAAGGGUGCGUAGGUGGUUUCUUAAGUCAGAGGUGAAAGGCUACGGCUCAACCGUAGUAAGCCUUUGAAACUGGGAAACUUGAGUGCAGGAGAGGAGAGUGGAAUUCCUAGUGUAGCGGU
rnacentral:rRNA from 1 species